CAGCGCCACAAGUGGGGAUCGCUUUUAUUGGGCCUAAAGCGUCCGUAGCCAGUCUAUCGAAUCUCUUGUGAAAUCGUUCGGCUCAACCGAACGGCGUGCAGGAGACACUCCUAGACUAGGGACCGGGAGGGGUCAGAGGUAUUCUGGGGGGAGCGGUAAAAUGCUAUAAUCCCCGGAGGACCACCGGUGGCGAAGGCGUCUGACCAGAACGGAUCCGACGGUGAGGGACGAAAGCCAGGGGAGCAAUCCGGAUUAGAUACCCGUGUAGUCC
rnacentral:rRNA from 1 species